CUUUUGCCGGGGAGCAAGCGUGCGUUCGUGAACGCGCGUCGAGAGUACCCGGAGAAAAAGCAUCGGCUAUCUCCGUGCCAGCAGCCGCGGUAAUACGGAGGAUGCGAGCGUUAUCCGGAUUUAUUGGGUUUAAAGGGUGCGUAGGCGGGAUGCCAAGUCAGCGGUAAAAAUGCGGUGCUCAACGCCGUCGAGCCGUUGAAACUGGCGUUCUUGAGUGGGCGAGAAGUAUGCGGAAUGCGUGGUGUAGCGGUGAAAUGCAUAGAUAUCACGCAGAACUCCGAUUGCGAAGGCAGCAUACCGGCGCCCUACUGACGCUGAGGCACGAAAGCGUGGGUAUCGAACAGGAUUAGAUACCCUGGUAGUCCACGCAGUAAACGAUGAAUGCUAACUGUCCGGCUCGAAUGAGCGCUGG
rnacentral:rRNA from 1 species